rnacentral:lncRNA from 10 species
GCCCAGAGCGCACCCCGAGCGCCGGCGAGCGGCGCGGUGAGACCCUCGUGCAGAGACGGAGUUUCACCAUGUUGGCCAGGAUGGUCUUCAACUUCUAACUUCGUGAUCCACGCUGCUGGGAUUACAGGUGUGAGCCACCGCGUGUGGCCUCUGGGCACCUUUUGAAGGUGGUUUCACCCCAACAUCAGCAGGGUGGAGGCGGAGAAGCUGUUCCUAUCCAGAGGUCAGCGUGGGGACUUCCUUGCCAGGCCCAGUGAGAGCAGCCCGGGGGGCUUCACGCUGUCCGUCAGGUAGCUGAAGCAGAGAGAGAAGGCGGCAGGCAUCAGCGUUUUCUUCUAUGAACUUAUAAGAUCAAAGACUUUAAGACUUUCACUAUUUCUUCUACCGCUAUCUACUACGAACUUCAAAGAGGAACCAGGAGUACGGAAGGAGCAUGAAAGUGGACAAGGAACGUGACCAUUGAAGCACCACAGGGAGGGGUUCAGGCCUCCGGAUGACUGCAGGCAGGCCUGGGUAACAUCCAGCCUCCCACAAGAAGCUGGUGGAGCAGAGCGUUCCCUGACUCCUCCAAGGAAAGGAGACUCCCUUUCCCGGUCUGCUCAGUAACGGGUGCCUUCCCAGACACUGGCGUUACCGCUUGACCAAGGGGCCCUCAAGCGGCCCUUAUGCGGGCAUGACAGAAGGCUCCCCUCUUGCCUUCUAUUCACUUCUCACAAUGUCCCUUCAGCACCUGACCCUAUACCUGCCGGUUAUUCCUAGGUUAUAUUAUUAAUGCAACAGAGUAAUAUUAAAAGCUAAUGAUUAAUAAUGUUUAUAAUAAUGAUGGAUAAUUGUUCAUGAUCAUCGCUGUAUCUAAUUUGUAUUAUGACUAUUCUUAUUCUAUUUUCUUUAUUAUACUGAAACAGUUUGUGCCUUCAGUCUCUUGCCUCGGCACCUAGGUACUCUUCCGCCCACACGGGACGGGCUGGGGGUGGCCAUCUCGGGCUCUGGGAAGGGGCCGGGGCUGUGAGCUGAAGGCUCCAUCACCUCCAGAUGCUGCAGCAGCAGGAAUGCCGGUUCCUGUACCCUCGGAAGGAGGGGCAGAGUGUGGAGAACAAGCCCAAGAAUCACUAC